rnacentral:rRNA from 1 species
AUUGCAGAAUUCAGUGAAUCAUCGAAUCUUUGAACGCAUCUUGCGCUCCUUGGUAUUCCGAGGAGCAUGCCUGUUUGAGUGUCAUU